rnacentral:rRNA from 1 species
AGUGAACGCUGGCGGUAGGCCUAACACAUGCAAGUCGAACGGCAGCACAGUAAGAGCUUGCUCUUACGGGUGGCGAGUGGCGGACGGGUGAGGAAUACAUCGGAAUCUACUUUUUCGUGGGGGAUAACGUAGGGAAACUUACGCUAAUGCCGCAUACGACCUACGGGUGAAAGCAGGGGAUCUUCGGAUCUUGCGCGAUUGAAUGAGCCGAUGUCGGAUUAGCUAGUUGGCGGGGUAAAGGCCCACCAAGGCGACGAUCCGUAGCUGGUCUGAGAGGAUGAUCAGCCACACUGGAACUGAGACACGGUCCAGACUCCUACGGGAGGCAGCAGUGGGGAAUAUUGGACAAUGGGCGCAAGCCUGAUCCAGCCAUACCGCGUGGGUGAAGAAGGCCUUCGGGUUGUAAAGCCCUUUUGUUGGGAAAGAAAAGCAGCAGGUUAAUACCCCGCUGUUCUGACGGUACCCAAAGAAUAAGCACCGGCUAACUUCGUG